rnacentral:rRNA from 1 species
UACAGAGGUCUCAAGCGUUGUUCGGAUUCAUUGGGCGUAAAGGGUGCGUAGGUGGCGCCGUAAGUCGGGUGUGAAAUUUCGGAGCUUAACUCCGAAACUGCAUUCGAUACUGCGGUGCUUGAGGACUGGAGAGGAGACUGGAAUUCACGGUGUAGCAGUGAAAUGCGUAGAUAUCGUAAGGAAGACCAGUGGCGAAGGCGAGUCUCUGGACAGUUACUGACACUGAGGCACGAAGGCCAGGGGAGCAAACGGG